CUUGGGUUGUAAACCUCUUUUUCUCAGGGAAUCAAAACAUGAAGGUACCUGAGGAAUAAGCAUCGGCUAACUCCGUGCCAGCAGCCGCGGUAAUACGGAGGAUGCAAAGCGUUAUCCGGAAUGAUUGGGCGUAAAAGCGUCCGCAGGUGGUACAACAAGUCUAGUGUCAAAGACCGGGGCUCAACCCCGGGAAGGCGGUGGAAACUGUUGAACUAGAGGGUCGUAGGGGUAGAGGGAAUUCCCAGUGUAGCGGUGAAAUGCGUAAAGAUUGGGAAGAACAUCGGUGGCGAAGGCGCUCUACUGGACG
rnacentral:rRNA from 1 species